CCUAUUUAAUCGCCUAGGUGCCUAUUUUCGCAGCGAAGCAAGAGGAAAGCACCGCGCAUGUUUCUAUCGGAUCGAUACGAAUCGAUUUCCGAUAACAUUGAACAGCAGUUGGUCAGGAAACGGCUCGAAGGGCGGAUGGCGCGCCGCUAGUAAGGUUAUUCCCACUUUUAAGUGACGGGAUUGAAACAAAUUUUCGAUGGAAAUCAAAUAAUUAGAAGGAAAUCAAGCGUUAGCUAAUCCCAUCUACAAAACUAGAUAACCAAAGUUAAACAUCUCUUUGGACUUCUUCACAUAACAGAAGUGGAUAUUCCGGCGUGCCUGCCUUGUUUCAAUCCCGUAACUUAGUUAUUUAGUCACACAACGUGACUCUAUCACGUUGAUUAUGUACUACCUAGUUAGAUUGCUAGCCACUCUGUGAUGGUUUAUCCCUAGAGUGGGCUGUUUUUGUUGGAUAAUACACCAUACCGGAUUUUAUUACAACCAGCAUCUUCACCCAGGACCUUGCAGUAGGACUUACUCACCACAGCAGCCAACCGUUUUAUCGUGCCAAAAGGGAAUUUCCUACGGAAUUCAUCUCUAUGGACUUGCAACCCUACUUUUAACCGACUGUUGUGUAAAAGCUAAGUUUAUUUACUUUUUCAUUAUUUACUUUUGGGUAAGAUAUAUUUGCUACAUUGUAAACUUUUCGUAUGCAUACGAUUAGGAAGAGUACAUAUAUUUUCGUGAUAGACAGGGUUUUAGGUCGUUGGUUUUUUUUUGAUUUAAUAUAAGUAGUAGUUUUAAAUAAAUAAAAUCAGGUCUUGUUUAAUAAUCAUCAAUAAUUGUAUCUUAAAAUUUAAUAGGGAAUCGGGUUGUAAAAUUUUGUCGCGGAUUUUAAAUAGGGAAUACGUCUCGUAGGUUUUUUUUUUGUAAAAUAUAUAAAGAGUCACUGACCAACUCAUUUAUAUAGACCUUUUUGCUAUUCCAACGGACUUUUGAUUUGGAUUUUGAUUUUAAUACUUUUGCUUGGCCAGUGAUAGUGGAUAAUUGCUUGUUGAGUGGCCUUUGCGGUCCUAUUUUAUCUUUUCCCCAUCCUCUAUCACUGUUAUUACGUUGCGUUAUAUGUAAAGUGUUAACAUUUAAUAUUUAUUAUUAAUAUAUUUGUAUGUAUUAA
rnacentral:lncRNA from 1 species